rnacentral:rRNA from 1 species
CAGUCGCCGCGGGAAUACGUAGGUGGCAAGCGUUAUCCGGAAUUAUUGGGCGUAAAGCGCGCGUAGGCGGUUUUUUAAGUCUGAUGUGAAAGCCCACGGCUCAACCGUGGAGGGUCAUUGGAAACUGGAAAACUUGAGUGCAGAAGAGGAAAGUGGAAUUCCAUGUGUAGCGGUGAAAUGCGCAGAGAUAUGGAGGAACACCAGUGGCGAAGGCGACUUUCUGGUCUGUAACUGACGCUGAUGUGCGAAAGCGUGGGGAUCAAACAGGAUUAGAUACCCGAGUAGUCCCUGUCUCUUAUAU